UACCAGCACCCCGAGUGGUCGGGCCGAUUAUUGGGCCUAAAGCAUCCGUAGCCGGUUCUACAAGUCUUCCGUUAAAUCCACCUGCUUAACAGAUGGGCUGCGGAGGAUACUAUAGAGCUAGGAGGCGGGAGAGGCAAGCGGUACUUAGUGGGUAGGGGUAAAAUCCGUUGAUCCAUUGAAGACCACCAGUGGCGAAGGCGGCUUGCCAGAACGCACUCGACGGUGAGGGAUGAAAGCUGGGGGAGCAAACCGG
rnacentral:rRNA from 1 species